rnacentral:rRNA from 1 species
AACCGCGGGAGCGGAGUGAAAGAGAACCUGAAACCGUAUGUCUACAAGCAGUCGGAGCGCAAGCGACGGCGUGCCUAUUGAAGAAUGAGCCAACGAGUUACGGGCACCAGCGAGGUUAAGCAGGAAAUGCGGAGCCGUAGGGAAACCGAGUCUGAAAAGGGCGGAUAGUUGGUGUUCGUAGACCCGAAACUGUAGUGAUCUACCCAUGAUCAGGUUGAAGCACGGGUAAAAUCGUGUGGAGGACCGAACCGGUGAGUGUUGAAAAACUUUCGGAUGAAUCGUGGGUAGCGGUGAAAUUCCAAUCGAACGCAGAGAUAGCUGGUUCUCCUCGAAAUAGCUUUAGGGCUAGCCUCAGGCAGUAAGCAUAGGCGGUAGAGCACUGAUCGGGAUAGGGACUGUAAUGGUUACCGAACCCUGUCAAACUACGAAUGGUUAUGCUGCAGAGCCUGGGAGUCAGACUACGAGAGAUAAGUCCCGUUGUCAAAAGGGAAACAGCCCAGACCAUCAGCUAAGGUCCCCAAUGCCAUACUAAGUGGAAAAGGAUGUGGGGUCUCAUAAACAACCAGGAUGUUGGCUCAGAAGCAGCCACCAUUUAAAGAGUGCGUAAUAGCUCACUGGUCGAGAGGCCCUGCGCCGAAGAUUCCCGGGGCUAAAGUAUGGAACCGAAGCUAUGGAUGCAUACGUAAGUAUGCGUGGUAGAGGAGCGUUCCCAUCGGGUUGAAGUCGUCCUGUAAGGGACGGUGGACUGGUGGGAAGUGAGAAUGUUGGCAUGAGUAGCGAAAAGAAUGGUGAGAAUCCAUUCCACCGAAAGCAUAAGGAUUCCUGAGCAACGAUCGUCGUCUCAGGGUAAGUCGGGACCUAAUCCGAGGCAAAGAGCGUAGGAGAUGGACAACUGGUUGAUAUUCCAGUACCGGCAGUGAUCGUUUGAACGAAGGAGUGACGCAGGAAGGCAGGUCCGCACGAGAUUGGUAGAUCGUGUGCAAGCGUGCAGGCUGGUUACCAGGCAAAUCCGGUAACUGAGGCUGAGGCGUGAUGCGGAGGGAACUUGUUCCCGAAGGGAUUGAGCCUACGCUGCCGAGAAAAGCUUCUAGUGAGAAAGCUGCCGCCCGUACCGUAAACCGACACAGGUAUGCGGGGAGAGAAUCCUAAGGUGCGCGGGAGAACCCUCGUUAAGGAACUCGGCAAAAUGUACCCGUAACUUCGGGAUAAGGGUAGCCACAAAGGUGAAGGGACUUGCUCCCGGAGCCCGGUGUGGUCGCAGAGAAGAGGCCCAAGCGACUGUUAACCAGAAACACAGGUGCCUGCGAAAGAGAAAUCUGAAGUAUAGGUGCUGACACCUGCCCAGUGCUGGAAGGUUAAAGAAGGAUGUCCGGGUUCGACCCAAAGCAUUCGACUGAAGCCCCAGUGAACGGCGGCCGUAACUAUAACGGUCCUAAGGUAGCGAAAUUCCUUGUCGGGUAAGUUCCGACCCGCACGAAAGGUGUAACGAUUUGGGCACUGUCUCAACGAGGGACCCGGUGAAAUUGAAAUACCUGUGAAGAUGCAGGUUACCCGCGACUGGACAGAAAGACCCCAUGGAGCUUUACUGUAACCUAAUAUUGGGUUCUGAUACUUGAUGCACAGGAUAGGUGGGAGGCAUGGAUGGCAGUCCUCUGGGAUUGCCGGAGCCACUGUUGGGAUACCACCCUUCAAUUAUCGGGAUUCUAACCGAGCGAGUAACGAUCGCCGGGACAGUGUUAGGCGGGCAGUUUGACUGGGGCGGUCGCCUCCCAAAGAGUAACGGAGGCGCCCAAAGGUUCCCUCAGCGCGGACGGAAACCGCGCGCGGAGUGUAAAGGCAGAAGGGAGCUUGACUGCGAGCCAAACACGGCGAGCAGGUACGAAAGUAGGGCUUAGUGAUCCGGUGGCAUCCAAGUGGAAGGGCCAUCGCUCAACGGAUAAAAGCUACCCUGG